UACAGAGGGGGCAAGCGUUGUUCGGAAUUACUGGGCGUAAAGGGCGCGUAGGCGGCCCACUAAGUCGAACGUGAAAUCCCCGAGCUCAACUCGGGAACUGCGUCCGAUACUGGUGGGCUUGAAUCCGGGAGAGGGAUGCGGAAUUCCAGGUGUAGCGGUGAAAUGCGUAGAUAUCUGGAGGAACACCGGUGGCGAAGGCGGCAUCCUGGACCGGCAUUGACGCUGAGGCGCGAAAGCCAGGGGAGCGAAUGGG
rnacentral:rRNA from 1 species